rnacentral:lncRNA from 1 species
CUGGGAGGGCAUAUGGCACCCAGAAUAUGGCUGUAGGCAUUUUGGACUCUACCUUCCUUCCCCUGAUUCUCAUGAGAAUCUGAUCAUCGCUAAAGUGGGCAAGGUAGGUCCUGGAUCAGAAGAUGCCUGACAAGAGGCCACUAUCAGCAGCAACAGCACAGUGGGGACAAACCUGAGACCUUGAUGGACCGUGGACACCAGCAGGAGAGACAGAGGCAACUCAAUUGGACAUAAUUAGAGACAUCAUCAUAAAUAACGUGGAGCAGAUGGAAGAUGCCGGGCUUUUCAUUUCGAGGACUGAGUAGGAAGGUUAAUGAUGGAGGAAUGGACAUAAAGAAUGGGGUGUUUAUAUCAAACUUGAAGUCUAAAUGGGCAGACAAGACCAACAUACACAAAGCAGAGAGUGGCACAAGAGCCAUGUCUGAUGCAACAGUGACUCAGGAGGAUCACUCUGACUCAGAAUGGCCAAGCAAAGGUAUUGGGAGGAAGUGGGAUAGAACUGAGCUUUGAAGACCGUGCUAAAAUAUUUACAGACUCCCCAGGUUAUCUCAGGUUCUCUCCAGGUUGAUCGUUAAGAACCAUGUAGAGAUGAAACAAUUUUCAAAGUUUUUUAAUUAAGUGUACUCAUUGCCACUCAAAGAUAAAUACCAUAUAAAUAUAAUAAUAAUCAUAUUGAGAAACAAAAUAGUAAUGAUGCAGAUACUCAUGUACUGUUUCAUGUUUGUGGUCUUUGAGGGGAGUUUUUACUCAAAUAUCUCUAGAUGAAUAAAUACAUAUGGUCAUUGAAAUUGAGUAACGUUUAACAGAAGGUGUCUGAUAACAAUUAGCGUAUUAAGUCUCUGAAGCUGAUUAACGGCUUAACUCAAGUUUUUGCACCUGCAGACCAGUGAACCCCCCAAGGCAUCUGUUUGACAUCUCUUUAAUUUUAUUAGUGGCUUAUGGACAAAAUCACUUGACUUAAACUUUUUCAAGUGUAAGUUAUUUGGGUUCACAAGAGCAUUU